GGUGCGCAGUUACCCGCUGCAGAGGGAGUUUCCCGCUUCAGCCUGCCCGCUGCUCGCCUGUGCCUCCCGCUCACAUCUUCCCCGCUGGCUGCCGUCCCGCCACUGCUGCCGCCGCCGUCGCCAAGGCCUCCCGCUGACGUCACCGUCGCCCGCCAAAGCCCCGUGCCGCCGACCGGCGACCUCCCAACAGCGGCCCCCCGCCGGCUCCAGCGGCACCCCCUCGCCAGGGACCCUGCGCUCUCUUUCUCACGCAGGCCUGGCCUCGCACCGGCAGCUCACGACAAAGCCAAUGGCCUCCGACGCGGCUUCCCUUCACGAAAGUGCUGCCAACGACCCGGAGCCCGCCUCCCGCCUGUCCCUGCCCGCUAGUGCCUCUGAUGACACCCGCCUCAGACGCUUGCCGCCACCGCCGCCCUCCAAUGCCUUCUCCCGCUGACGCCGAUGUUGCUGCCUCCGCCAACGCUUACGGCCCUCCGCUGCCAUUCGCCCUUAGACUCCUACCACCACCAACAGAGACCCCUUGCCAGGGACCCGGCUCCCUGGUUCCCACGCAGGCCUCUCCACCGUGCAGCAACCUCAGGUCAUAGUCUCCACAGGGAACAACUUCGUCUGUCUGGAGUCAACUUACGAAAAUUCAGCUUGAUCCAUUUCUGCAAACAUCUGCUGUUCUCUACCUCCAGGGUCACACGAGGCAGGUUAAGAGAGAUUCGGGAAAUCUGACGGUGCGUGAUGAUUGCUGCUGUGUUUCGGAGGAAGGCAGAAGCUGCUAUUGCCAAACAGUGGCCUCUUUUGUUCCAGUGUUUUUUUCUGUUCCGCCACAGUGGUGAUGCCACUGUUCCAGAGCCCAUAUCAGGUGCCGUUUCCUUAAAAGAGUGCAUUUUUGUGUUGCUGGAGGAGUCCCUUCAGGCGACAUUCACAGAAGUGAGAUUUCUGAUGUAAGGUAAGUAUGUAGGUACUUGUGUUAGAUAUUGACAGGUUUUCUUCUACAUAGUUAUACUAGCUUGCAUGCCCACCUGUUGGAAAGGUGUAAGCACACCUGUUGUCUCACAGCCUUGCCAACAGAAUCUGCUGUCACACACUGUUUGCCAGUGCAAUGGUGUGAAUGUUUGUGUCCCCCAAGUUCACAUGUUGAAUUCUUAUGCUCAGUGUGAUGGUACUAGAAGGUGAGGCCUUUGGGAGGUGAUCAGAUCAUGAAGGCAGAGCCAUCUCAAAUGGGAUUAGUGCCCUUAUCCAAGAGGCCUAAGGAAACUCCCACCCUUUGUGAGGUAAGAAGAUAGCCAUCAGUGCGGUAGCUGGGUCUCACCAGACGCCGGAUCUGCCAGCACCAUGAACUUGGACUUCCCUGUCUCCAAAACUGUGAGAAAUAAAUAUCUGUUGUUUAUAAGUCACCCAAUCUAUAGUGUUUUGUUACAGCACUGCAAACAGACUGAGUCAGUCUGACGGGUGAGAAAAGGUGGCAGAUGGCUGUCGUACUAUACCCUCUGCAGACGGGGGCGUUGGACGAUCAGCUUCCAGCUGAGAACACAAUGCAAGCGCACUGCCGACUACCCUCCUUGCCUGAAGCAUCCUACCAAGAGGCCCUGUGUGGCCUUUUCUGGUAGGAAACAACACAGAGGAUCUUAUCAAAAUGAAACUCAAAAGAGAGCUGCGGAGAGGAGACAGAGAAUGGUUUUGGACUUGAAAGAUCUUCCAGACCUCUAGGUAAAAAGAGAGAGCUGGGAUAUUACCAUGUGGAUAAAAUGAGAGUUCCUUUGGCCCAGAUUCUCACCUGGUCCUGGUUGACUACCUCACUGCACACCUGUGGGCAAUUUGACUCUAUAUAAAGAGCUCUGCCCAGUGCUCUGGGUGUGACCUGAUGGCAGGGCUGAAAGGCUGCAGGAGAGCAGAGCAGAGACUGGAGUGGAGGCAGUGCCAAGGACAGAGGCCCAGAGGACAGCUGUGUCGGACGACUGUACAGACAGAGGGGCCCAGAGGCAGAGACUAGCUUGCUGUGUGCAGACUCGCUCCGAGUGGAUGGGAUUCUAGUGACUGACCUGCUGCCGUGGAAAUAAAGUUGGGUGUAACCCUUUAGCCC